UAAUACCGGAUAAUAUUUUGAACCGCAUGGUUCAAAAGUGAAAGACGGUCUUGCUGUCACUUAUAGAUGGAUCCGCGCUGCAUUAGCUAGUUGGUAAGGUAACGGCUUACCAAGGCAACGAUGCAUAGCCGACCUGAGAGGGUGAUCGGCCACACUGGAACUGAGACACGGUCCAGACUCCUACGGGAGGCAGCAGUAGGGAAUCUUCCGCAAUGGGCGAAAGCCUGACGGAGCAACGCCGCGUGAGUGAUGAAGGUCUUCGGAUCGUAAAACUCUGUUAUUAGGGAAGAACAUAUGUGUAAGUAACUGUGCACAUCUUGACGGUACCUAAUCAGAAAGCCACGGCUAACUACGUGCCAGCAGCCGCGGUAAUACGUAGGUGGCAAGCGUUAUCCGGAAUUAUUGGGCGUAAAGCGCGCGUAGGCGGUUUUUUAAGUCUGAUGUGAAAGCCCACGGCUCAACCGUGGAGGGUCAUUGGAAACUGGAAAACUUGAGUGCAGAAGAGGAAAGUGGAAUUCCAUGUGUAGCGGUGAAAUGCGCAGAGAUAUGGAGGAACACCAGUGGCGAAGGCGACUUUCUGGUCUGUAACUGACGCUGAUGUGCGAAAGCGUGGGGAUCAAACAGGAUUAGAUACCCUGGUAGUCCACGCCGUAAACGAUGAGUGCUAAGUGUUAGGGGGUUUCCCGCCCCUUAGUGCUGCAGCUAACGCAUUAAGCACUCCGCCUGGGGAGUACGACCGCAAGGUUGAAACUCAAAGGAAUUGACGGGGACCCGCACAAGCGGUGGAGCAUGUGGUUUAAUUCGAAGCAACGCGAAGAACCUUACCAAAUCUUGACAUCCUUUGACAACUCUAGAGAUAGAGCCUUCCCCUUCGGGGGACAAAGUGACAGGUGGUGCAUGGUUGUCGUCAGCUCGUGUCGUGAGAUGUUGGGUUAAGUCCCGCAACGAGCGCAACCCUUAAGCUUAGUUGCCAUCAUUAAGUUGGGCACUCUAAGUUGACUGCCGGUGACAAACCGGAGGAAGGUGGGGAUGACGUCAAAUCAUCAUGCCCCUUAUGAUUUGGGCUACACACGUGCUACAAUGGACAAUACAAAGGGCAGCGAAACCGCGAGGUCAAGCAAAUCCCAUAAAGUUGUUCUCAGUUCGGAUUGUAGUCUGCAACUCGACUACAUGAAGCUGGAAUCGCUAGUAAUCGUAGAUCAGCAUGCUACGGUGAAUACGUUCCCGGGUCUUGUACACACCGCCCGUCACACCACGAGAGUUUGUAACACCCGAAGCCGGUGGAGUAACCUUUUAGGAGCUAGCCGUCGAAGGUGGGACAAAUGAUUGGGGUGAAGUCGUAACAAGGUAGCCGUAUCGGAAGGUGCGGCUGGAUCACCUCCUUUCUAAGGA
rnacentral:rRNA from 1 species